ensembl:lncRNA
CUCAGCUUAGAGCGCGCGCACGGUAACGCGCUUCCCUCAGGGCGAGCCUUGCUUUGGGCCGCCUCAGCCUGCAUUCUCACCUCUGUGUGUGGUUACGGCGCUUGUGUCUUGCAGCUUCGCUUUUUAUUGGUAUACGUGGAACUGAAAAGCAAACAGAUCCACUGAAGUGUUGUGUUUUUUGCACCUAUCAUCACCCUCAAGUCUCCGUAUAACGUGUGGUAAAAAAUGCAGAUGCUGUGUUCCAUUCUGUCCCUGUUGCUGCUUCUUUGUGUGUUUUGGCUGUGUUUAGUUUGUCUUCUUUCCCAGAGGAAGGCCUGC